rnacentral:rRNA from 1 species
UUUGAGAGUUUUGAUCCUGGCUCAGAACGAACGCUGGCGGCAAGCUUAACACAUGCAAGUCGAACGGAUUAUCUUUUAUAGCUUGCUAUAAAAGAUAAUUAGUGGCAGACGGGUGAGUAAUGCAUAGGAAUCUACCUAGUAGUAUGGGAUAGCCACUAGAAAUGGUGGGUAAUACUGUAUAAUCCCUGCGGGGGAAAGAUUUAUCGCUAUUAGAUGAGCCUAUGUUAGAUUAGCUAGUUGGUAGGGUAAAGGCCUACCAAGGCGAUGAUCUAUAGCUGGUCUGAGAGGAUGAUCAGCCACACUGGAACUGAGAUACGGUCCAGACUCCUACGGGAGGCAGCAGUGGGGAAUAUUGGACAAUGGGCGCAAGCCUGAUCCAGCUAUGCCGCGUGAGUGAGGAAGGCCUUAGGGUUGUAAAACUCUUUCAGUAGGGAAGAUAAUGACGGUACCUACAGAAGAAGUCCCGGCAAACUCCGUGCCAGCAGCCGCGGUAAUACGGAGGGGGCAAGCGUUGUUCGGAAUUAUUGGGCGUAAAGGGCAUGUAGGCGGUUCGGUAAGUUAAAGGUGAAAUGCCAGGGCUUAACCCUGGAGCUGCUUUUAAUACUGCCAGACUAGAGUCCGGGAGAGGAUAGCGGAAUUCCUA